rnacentral:rRNA from 1 species
CACGGCCCGACUCCUACGGGAGGCAGCAGUGAGGAAUAUUGGACAAUGGUGAGAGCCUGAUCCAGCCAUCCCGCGUGAAGGAUGACGGCCCUAUGGGUUGUAAACUUCUUUUGUAUAGGGAUAAACCUACCCUCGUGAGGGUAGCUGAAGGUACUAUACGAAUAAGCACCGGCUAACUCCGUGCCAGCAGCCGCGGUAAUACGGAGGGUGCAAGCGUUAUCCGGAUUUAUUGGGUUUAAAGGGUCCGUAGGCGGACUCGUAAGUCAGUGGUGAAAUCUCAUAGCUUAACUAUGAAACUGCCAUUGAUACUGCGGGUCUUGAGUAAGGUAGAGGUAGCUGGAAUAAGUAGUGUAGCGGUGAAAUGCAUAGAUAUUACUUAGAACACCAAUUGCGAAGGCAGGUUACCAUGUCUUAACUGACGCUGAUGGACGAAAGCGUGGGGAGCGAACAGGAUUAGAUACCCUGGUAGUCCACGCCGUAAACGAUGCUAACUCGUUUUUGGGUUUUCGGAUUCAGAGACUAAGCGAAAGUGAUAAGUUAGCCACCUGGGGAGUACGAACGCAAGUUUGAAACUCAAAGGAAUUGACGGGGGCCCGCACAAGCGGUGGAUUAUGUGGUUUAAUUCGAUGAUACGCGAGGAACCUUACCAAGGCUUAAAUGGGAAAUGACAGGCUUAGAAAUAGGCUUUUCUUCGGACAUUUUUCAAGGUGCUGCAUGGUUGUCGUCAGCUCGUGCCGUGAGGUGUUAGGUUAAGUCCUGCAACGAGCGCAACCCCUGUCACUAGUUGCCAUCAUUCAGUUGGGGACUCUAGUGAGACUGCCUACGCAAGUAGAGAGGAAGGUGGGGAUGACGUCAAAUCAUCACGGCCCUUACGCCUUGGGCCACACACGUAAUACAAUGGCCAGUACAGAGGGCUGCUACCAGGCGACUGGAUGCUAAUCUCGAAAGCUGGUCUCAGUUCGGAUUGGAGUCUGCAACUCGACUCUAUGAAGCUGGAAUCGCUAGUAAUCGCGCAUCAGCCAUGGCGCGGUGAAUACGUUCCCGGGCCUUGUACACACCGCCCGUCAAGCCAUGGAAGUCUGGGGUACCUGAAGUCGGUGACCGUAACAGGAGCUGCCUAGGUUAAAC